GCUGCAUGGCUGUCGUCAGCUCGUGUCGUGAGAUGUUGGUUAAGUCCGCAACGAGCGCAACCCUUGUCAUUAGUUGCUACAUUCAGUUGGGCACUCUAAUGAGACUGCCGGUGGACAAACCGGAGGAAGGUGGGGAUGACGUCAAGUCCUCAUGGCCCUUAUAGGUGGGGCUACACACGUCAUACAAUGGAUGGUACAAAGGGUCGCCAACCCGCGAGGGGGAGCCAAUCCCAUAAAGCCAUUCGUAGUCCGGAUCGCAGUCUGCAACUCGACUGCGUGAAGUCGGAAUCGCUAGUAAUCGUGGAUCAGAAUGUCACGGUGAAUACGUUCCCGGGUCUU
rnacentral:rRNA from 1 species